AUUAAUUGCUCCUACCAUCCAUCAUCCAAUGUUUAGGAAUUAGGAUUAAUGGGGUGGUUUAAUUUCCAUAGUUUACAUUUUGAUAUUGUUGUUAAUCAGUUAAUGUGAAGGGCUUGGGGUUGAUUCCCCGGUAGUUGUAAAUUUGUAAUGAUGGAUUGAAGGUUUUGUCGGGGCGGUGAUGAUACUGCAUUGUUGAAAGACUCAAAAUAGAGUGGAAAGGCUGAGCCUAGGGGUAUUAUUAGGGUCUUAACGAUAUGUUUAGCACUCCAUUUGUUAGGUGCAUUGUUAGAGUCAAUUUAUGUCUCACUCCAUUUGUUAGUUGCACUCUACAGAAAACUGAAGACGCUCUGGAAUUGGAUUGUCCACUCUGAUCAGAAAAAAUGGACCGUCAUACUGCUGUUUGUUAUGCAAUUCUCACUCUGGCAAUGGCUACUUCUUCUACAAUUCAGCUUUAAUUCUUCUCUAAAACCCUUUAGUUCUUCUCGAAACCCCCGAAAUUGCCGAAAACUCGUUUUGUUAAUUUUUGAACUUAAACCCUUUCUUUGAAUUUUAUUUAACUACAGAUUGGCGCUCGAGAUGAAUUCAGGAAGACCCAAAUAAUCACAACGAAUUCUCCGUUCUCUAUUGCAUUUGAAACCCUCCAGAAGCAGAUUGACUGCUUUCAUGUAGAUAAUCCGGCCGUAGUCUGUGGUGCUUUUUGUGCUAUAUUCGGUGUUGUUGCCCUUGAUUCUGGGAAGUCCGAUGCUGCUGCAAAAGUGUUCUUGAAUGUUCAUGCUCGCACUGGUGAAUUAGCUGCUGAUUUUUAGGUACUUAUCAUUUGAAAAGUCUCGGAUUGGGUUCCUUUGUCAGCAAGUAUUUAUUAUUGGCCUGAGCGCUUGAUCGAGGCUGUUUAGUUGUUAUAGAACAAUUUUUAUAUUAAAAUGUAUGCGUACGUUGAAAUUGGAACAUAUAUUUAAAUGUAGUACGUGCACUUUGGUUUUGGGAUAUAUAUAUAUAUAUA